GGGUUGUGAGGUUAAGCGACUAAGCGUACACGGUGGAUGCCCUGGCAGUCAGAGGCGAUGAAGGACGUGCUAAUCUGCGAUAAGCGUCGGUAAGGUGAUAUGAACCGUUAUAACCGGCGAUUUCCGAAUGGGGAAACCCAGUGUGAUUCGUCACACUAUCAUUAACUGAAUCCAUAGGUUAAUGAGGCGAACCGGGGGAACUGAAACAUCUAAGUACCCCGAGGAAAAGAAAUCAACCGAGAUUCCCCCAGUAGCGGCGAGCGAACGGGGAGCAGCCCAGAGCCUGAAUCAGUGUGUGUGUUAGUGGAAGCGUCUGGAAAGGCGCGCGAUACAGGGUGACAGCCCCGUACACAAAAAUGCACAUGCUGUGAGCUCGAUGAGUAGGGCGGGACACGUGGUAUCCUGUCUGAAUAUGGGGGGACCAUCCUCCAAGGCUAAAUACUCCUGACUGACCGAUAGUGAACCAGUACCGUGAGGGAAAGGCGAAAAGAACCCCGGCGAGGGGAGUGAAAAAGAACCUGAAACCGUGUACGUACAAGCAGUGGGAGCACGCUUAGGCGUGUGACUGCGUACCUUUUGUAUAAUGGGUCAGCGACUUAUAUUCUGUAGCAAGGUUAACCGAAUAGGGGAGCCGAAGGGAAACCGAGUCUUAACUGGGCGUUAAGUUGCAGGGUAUAGACCCGAAACCCGGUGAUCUAGCCAUGGGCAGGUUGAAGGUUGGGUAACACUAACUGGAGGACCGAACCGACUAAUGUUGAAAAAUUAGCGGAUGACUUGUGGCUGGGGGUGAAAGGCCAAUCAAACCGGGAGAUAGCUGGUUCUCCCCGAAAGCUAUUUAGGUAGCGCCUCGUGAAUUCAUCUCCGGGGGUAGAGCACUGUUUCGGCAAGGGGGUCAUCCCGACUUACCAACCCGAUGCAAACUGCGAAUACCGGAGAAUGUUAUCACGGGAGACACACGGCGGGUGCUAACGUCCGUCGUGAAGAGGGAAACAACCCAGACCGCCAGCUAAGGUCCCAAAGUCAUGGUUAAGUGGGAAACGAUGUGGGAAGGCCCAGACAGCCAGGAUGUUGGCUUAGAAGCAGCCAUCAUUUAAAGAAAGCGUAAUAGCUCACUGGUCGAGUCGGCCUGCGCGGAAGAUGUAACGGGGCUAAACCAUGCACCGAAGCUGCGGCAGCGACACUGUGUGUUGUUGGGUAGGGGAGCGUUCUGUAAGCCUGCGAAGGUGUGCUGUGAGGCAUGCUGGAGGUAUCAGAAGUGCGAAUGCUGACAUAAGUAACGAUAAAGCGGGUGAAAAGCCCGCUCGCCGGAAGACCAAGGGUUCCUGUCCAACGUUAAUCGGGGCAGGGUGAGUCGACCCCUAAGGCGAGGCCGAAAGGCGUAGUCGAUGGGAAACAGGUUAAUAUUCCUGUACUUGGUGUUACUGCGAAGGGGGGACGGAGAAGGCUAUGUUGGCCGGGCGACGGUUGUCCCGGUUUAAGCGUGUAGGCUGGUUUUCCAGGCAAAUCCGGAAAAUCAAGGCUGAGGCGUGAUGACGAGGCACUACGGUGCUGAAGCAACAAAUGCCCUGCUUCCAGGAAAAGCCUCUAAGCAUCAGGUAACAUCAAAUCGUACCCCAAACCGACACAGGUGGUCAGGUAGAGAAUACCAAGGCGCUUGAGAGAACUCGGGUGAAGGAACUAGGCAAAAUGGUGCCGUAACUUCGGGAGAAGGCACGCUGAUACGUAGGUGAAGUCCCUCGCGGAUGGAGCUGAAAUCAGUCGAAGAUACCAGCUGGCUGCAACUGUUUAUUAAAAACACAGCACUGUGCAAACACGAAAGUGGACGUAUACGGUGUGACGCCUGCCCGGUGCCGGAAGGUUAAUUGAUGGGGUCAGCGCAAGCGAAGCUCUUGAUCGAAGCCCCGGUAAACGGCGGCCGUAACUAUAACGGUCCUAAGGUAGCGAAAUUCCUUGUCGGGUAAGUUCCGACCUGCACGAAUGGCGUAAUGAUGGCCAGGCUGUCUCCACCCGAGACUCAGUGAAAUUGAACUCGCUGUGAAGAUGCAGUGUACCCGCGGCAAGACGGAAAGACCCCGUGAACCUUUACUAUAGCUUGACACUGAACAUUGAGCCUUGAUGUGUAGGAUAGGUGGGAGGCUUUGAAGUGUGGACGCCAGUCUGCAUGGAGCCGACCUUGAAAUACCACCCUUUAAUGUUUGAUGUUCUAACGUUGACCCGUAAUCCGGGUUGCGGACAGUGUCUGGUGGGUAGUUUGACUGGGGCGGUCUCCUCCUAAAGAGUAACGGAGGAGCACGAAGGUUGGCUAAUCCUGGUCGGACAUCAGGAGGUUAGUGCAAUGGCAUAAGCCAGCUUGACUGCGAGCGUGACGGCGCGAGCAGGUGCGAAAGCAGGUCAUAGUGAUCCGGUGGUUCUGAAUGGAAGGGCCAUCGCUCAACGGAUAAAAGGUACUCCGGGGAUAACAGGCUGAUACCGCCCAAGAGUUCAUAUCGACGGCGGUGUUUGGCACCUCGAUGUCGGCUCAUCACAUCCUGGGGCUGAAGUAGGUCCCAAGGGUAUGGCUGUUCGCCAUUUAAAGUGGUACGCGAGCUGGGUUUAGAACGUCGUGAGACAGUUCGGUCCCUAUCUGCCGUGGGCGCUGGAGAACUGAGGGGGGCUGCUCCUAGUACGAGAGGACCGGAGUGGACGCAUCACUGGUGUUCGGGUUGUCAUGCCAAUGGCACUGCCCGGUAGCUAAAUGCGGAAGAGAUAAGUGCUGAAAGCAUCUAAGCACGAAACUUGCCCCGAGAUGAGUUCUCCCUGACUCCUUGAGAGUCCUGAAGGAACGUUGAAGACGACGACGUUGAUAGGCCGG
rnacentral:rRNA from 1 species